rnacentral:misc_RNA from 1 species
UACGUAGGUGGCAAGCGUUGUCCGGAAUUAUUGGGCGUAAAGCGCGCGCAGGCGGUCUUUUAAGUCUGAUGUGAAAGCCCACGGCUCAACCAUGGAGGGUCAUUGGAAACUGGAAGACUUGAAUGAAGAAGAGGAAAGUGGAAUUCCAUGUGUAGCGGUGAAAUGCGUAGAUAUAUGGAGGAACACCAGUGGCGAAGGCGACUUUCUGGUCUGUAACUGAUGCUGAGGCGCGAAAGCGUGGGGAGCGAACAGG